UGGGGAAUAUUGGACAAUGGGCGAAAGCCUGAUCCAGCGACGCCGCGUGAGUGAAGAAGUAUUUCGGUAUGUAAAGCUCUAUCAGCAGGGAAGAAAAUGACGGUACCUGACUAAGAAGCCCCGGCUAACUACGUGCCAGCAGCCGCGGUAAUACGUAGGGGGCAAGCGUUAUCCGGAUUUACUGGGUGUAAAGGGUGCGUAGGCGGCAGAGCAAGUCAGAUGUGAAAUCCGUGGGCUUAACCCACGAACUGCAUUUGAAACUGUUUUGCUUGAGUGAAGUAGAGGCAGGCGGAAUUCCCUGUGUAGCGGUGAAAUGCGUAGAGAUAGGGAGGAACACCAGUGGCGAAGGCGGCCUGCUGGGCUUUAACUGACGCUGAGGCACGAAAGCGUGGGUAGCAAACAGGAUUAGAUACCCUGGUAGU
rnacentral:rRNA from 1 species